UCUCCUUGGUCAGGCUGUCGAACCAUAGAGACGGCAUUGGUGUGACCCCUGGGGUCCUUCCAAAACCCUUCAGACUGGGGGCGUUUCCCUGCCUCUGGGUCUUCCUCAGGUCACUGUGGGCAGGUGGACAGAUGGAGCAGCGGCCACCCCUGUGCUGAGUGGGUGCCUGAGGCCACCGGCUCUGAGCCCAGGCGUGGGGGUGGGGGUGGGGGACACGCCAGGGUGUGGUGCCACCUCCCUGCACCACUAGGGUCUCCUCCACAGUGGUGACUCCAGGCUGAAAUGCGGACGCUCAGCACCCAUACCUGAAGCUCCAUGUGAUGGCCGCUCUGAGGGUCAGGGUCAGGCCACUGCUCUCACCAGCUGGGCUCCCCCAGCGUCUGGCCCUGGACAGCACUUGGUCAGGCGCCUGUUUCGCAACAGAGGAUAGCCUGAGGUCCAAGUUCAACAGCCUGGGCAGGCGGGAGGUCUGGACUGAGGCCUCUCCUGACCUAGGACCCCAUGGACCCCAGGAGAGGAAGCUGACUUGGGAGCCGCCCACCUUGCUGGCCGCCGCGGGCACCCACCUCCUUCUCAGACCUGAGUCUCGGUUUCCAGGUCAGGUCCUGGCCUUCCUGUGCCCCGGGGCUGUGCUCCGCCCAGAGUCAUGUCCCUUUCGCUGGUGCUAGAACACGUAGGGAGGGCCCCUGCCUGCCCCUGGGAAUGCUCAUGGCUCUUCUGGGGACACUGCCCUCCUGGUGCCGACAGGCACCCUCCAUCGUCAGUGUCAGGACUGGGGGCUGCUGGGCAUGGGGUUCCCAGCCGGGCUGUGAAGGGGGGGGAUCCCAGGGAGCUGUUAACAUCUGCUGCCCAGCACACACCCCAUCAAUCCAACCAGGGCAGUGAGCGCGGAUCCUCCAGGGCAUGGGGAAGCUCCCAGCAGCGUCAGAGGUGCUGCUGGGGGCGGGGAGGUGGGGGGGGGGGUGUCUCUGGUUUUGUUUCUGAGAAACUCACCCAGAACCAGUGGGAAGCCCAGUCUGGCUGCCCAGAUGCUGAGUCUGCUUUUCAGCAGGAGGCCGAGGAUUCCGUGCCCAGCCGCGGGUUCGGUGGGCUGCUUGCUGAGAACCUGGGGAUCAGCUUGAGGGAGCGGCCACGUCCACUCUAAGAAAGGCAGCCCCCACCCUCAUUCGCCAUCGUAUCAGCUCCCUGGAGCUGCCGUAAGCACAGACAUGGGGCCUUCAGGCAACAGAGAUCCAGCCCCUCACGUUCCAAGGUCAGGGUUGGAAACCCAGGUGUCUGCAGGGUUGUCCCCUCCUGGAGACUCAGGGAGGCCCUGCUCCAGCCUGGCCUCCAGUUCCAGGGGCCCUGCACGUCCUCCACUCGCAGCCACGUCAUGCCAUCACUACACAGCCUCCUCCUCCCGCCGUGUUUCCUGUAGGGACACCUGUCCCUGGACUUAGGACUGACCCUGGUAACCAGGACCAUCUCAUCUCA
ensembl:lncRNA